rnacentral:tRNA from 1 species
GGAGAGAUGGCCGAGCGGUCUAAGGCGCCAGACUAAGGAUCUGGUCUUUCGGGGCGUGGGUUCGAAUCCCACUCUCUUCA